GAGUACACGAGCGGCGAACGGGUGAGUAACACGUGAGCAACCUGCCCUUCUCAUCGGAAUAAGCGUUGGAAACGACGUCUAAUGCCGAAUACGACCUCAGAAGGCAUCUUCAGAGGUGGAAAGCUCCGGCGGAGAAGGAUGGGCUCGCGGCCUAUCAGCUUGUUGGUGGGGUAACGGCCCACCAAGGCGACGACGGGUAGCCGGCCUGAGAGGGUGACCGGCCACACUGGGACUGAGACACGGCCCAGACUCCUACGGGAGGCAGCAGUGGGGAAUAUUGGACAAUGGGCGAAAGCCUGAUCCAGCAACGCCGCGUGAGGGAUGACGGCCUUCGGGUUGUAAACCUCUUUCAGCACCGACGAAGCGAAAGUGACGGUAGGUGCAGAAGAAGGACCGGCCAACUACGUGCCAGCAGCCGCGGUAAUACGUAGGGUCCGAGCGUUGUCCGGAAUUAUUGGGCGUAAAGGGCUCGUAGGCGGUUUGUCGCGUCGGGAGUGAAAACUCAGGGCUCAACCCUGAGCGUGCUUCCGAUACGGGCAGACUAGAGGUAUGCAGGGGAGAACGGAAUUCCUGGUGUAGCGGUGGAAUGCGCAGAUAUCAG
rnacentral:rRNA from 1 species